rnacentral:rRNA from 1 species
GUGGGGAAUAUUGGACAAUGGGCGAAAGCCUGAUCCAGCCAUGCCGCGUGUGUGAAGAAGGUCUUCGGAUUGUAAAGCACUUUAAGUUGGGAGGAAGGGCAGUAAGUUAAUACCUUGCUGUUUUGACGUUACCGACAGAAUAAGCACCGGCUAACUUCGUGCCAGCAGCCGCGGUAAUACGAAGGGUGCAAGCGUUAAUCGGAAUUACUGGGCGUAAAGCGCGCGUAGGUGGUUUUGUAAGUUGGAGGUGAAAUGCCCGGGCUCAACCUGGGAACUGCCUCCAAAACUGCAUGACUAGAGUACGGUAGAGGGUAGUGGAAUUUCCUGUGUAGCGGUGAAAUGCGUAGAUAUAGGAAGGAACACCAGUGGCGAAGGCGACUACCUGGACUGAUACUGACACUGAGGUGCGAAAGCGUGGGGAGCAAACAGGAUUAGAUACCCUAGUAGUCC